GUGUCGGUGGUUGAGGGUUUAAGCACUUGACUUGUAAUCUAUAGGUCCUGGGUUAGAAUCCCGCCUUGUACG
rnacentral:tRNA from 1 species